rnacentral:rRNA from 1 species
CCUACGGGAGACAGCAGUGGGGGAUAUUGCACAAUGGGGGAAACCCUGAUGCAGCGACGCCGCGUGUGGGAAGACGGUCCUCUGGAUUGUAAACCACUGUCCCCAGGGACGAAGAUGACGGUACCUGGGGAGGAAGCUCCGGCUAACUACGUGCCAGCAGCCGCGGUAAUACGUAGGGAGCGAGCGUUGUCCGGAAUUACUGGGUGUAAAGGGAGCGUAGGCGGGACUGCAAGUUGGGUGUCAAAUCUACCGGCUCAACCGGUAGCCGCACUCAAAACUGCAGUUCUUGAGUGAAGUAGAGGCAGGCGGAAUUCCUAGUGUAGCGGUGAAAUGCGUAGAUAUUAGGAGGAACACCAGUGGCGAAGGCGGCCUACUGGGCUUUUACUGACGCUGAGGCUCGAAAGUGUGGGGAGCAAACAGGAUUAGAUACCCCAGUAGUC